CCUACGGGAGGCAGCAGUAGGGAAUCUUCGGCAAUGGACGAAAGUCUGACCGAGCAACGCCGCGUGAGUGAAGAAGGUUUUCGGAUCGUAAAACUCUGUUGGUAGAGAAGAACGUUGGUGAGAGUGGAAAGCUCAUCAAGUGACGGUAACUACCCAGAAAGGGACGGCUAACUACGUGCCAGCAGCCGCGGUAAUACGUAGGUCCCGAGCGUUGUCCGGAUUUAUUGGGCGUAAAGCGAGCGCAGGUGGUUUAUUAAGUCUUGUGUAAAAGGCAGUGGCUCAACCAUUGGAUGCAUUGGGAACUGGUAGACUUGGGUGCAGGAGAGGGGGGUGGAAAUCCAUGUGUUGCGGUGAAAUGGGGUGAUAUAUGGAGGGACCACCGGGGCGAAAGCCGCUCUCUGGCCUGGAACCGACACCGAGGCCCGAAAGCGUGGGGAGCAAACAGGAUUAGAUACCCCAGUAGUC
rnacentral:rRNA from 1 species